UACGGGGGGGGGUAAGCGUUGUUCGGAAUUACUGGGCGUAAAGGGCUCGUAGGCGGCCAACUAAGUCAGACGUGAAAUCCCUCAGCUUAACUGGGGAACUGCGUCUGAUACUGGAUGGCUUGGAUUCGGGAGAGGAAUGCGGAAUUCCAGGUGUAGCGGUGAAAUGCGUAGAUAUCUGGAGGAAUACCGGUGGCGAAGGCGGCAUCCUGGACCGGCAUUGACGCUGAGGAGCGAAAGCCAGGGGAGGCAAACGGG
rnacentral:rRNA from 1 species